rnacentral:snoRNA from 1 species
UGGACUACCACUGAAAUACUGCCCUAAUUGGCUUCAUACCUCAAUGGAAUAAAGUGCGUUUUGAUGACUGGGAUGAACUGAGUGAAACUGUAAUAGACAGAAAUGGGGCAGACAGUU